rnacentral:snRNA from 1 species
GUAGGAGACCUACUCUACUAAAAUUGGAAAAAAUACAGAGAAGAUUAGCAUGGUCCCUGACAUGACACAUACAUUUGUGAAGCGUUCCAUAUUUUU